rnacentral:rRNA from 1 species
CAGUAGCCGCGGUAAUACGUAGGGUGCGAGCGUUAAUCGGAAUUACUGGGCGUAAAGCGUGCGCAGGCGGUUGUGUAAGACAGAUGUGAAAUCCCCGGGCUUAACCUGGGAACUGCAUUUGUGACUGGCGAGCUAGAGUAUGGCAGAGGGGGGUAGAAUUCCACGUGUAGCAGUGAAAUGCGUAGAGAUGUGGAGGAAUACCGAUGGCGAAGGCAGCCCCCUGGGCCAAUACUGACGCUCAUGCACGAAAGCGUGGGGAGCAAACAGGAUUAGAUACCCCCGUAGUCCCUGUCUCUUAUAC